rnacentral:rRNA from 1 species
CCUACGGGCGGCAGCAGUGAGGAAUAUUGGUCAAUGGGCGGUAGCCUGAACCAGCCAAGUAGCGUGCGGGAUGACUGCCCUAUGGGUUGUCAACUGCUUUUAUAUGGGGAUAAAAUGCACUAUUUAUGCUGCUUUGCAUGUACCUUAUGAAUAAGGGUCGGCUAACUCCGUGCCAGCAGCCGCGGUAAUACGGGGGAUCCGAGCGUUAUCCGUAUUUAUUGGGUUUAAAGGGAGCGGAGGCGGGUGGUUAAGUCAGGUGUUAAAGUGUGCGGACCAACCGGAAACGGGCAGUUGAAACUGGCAUCAUUGAGUACAGAAGAGGCAGGCGGAAUUCGUGGUGUAGCGGUGAAAUGCUUAGAUAUCACGAAGAACUCCGAUUGCGAAGGCAGCCUGCUGGAGUGUAACUGACGCUGAGGCUCGAAAGUGCGGGUAUCAAACAGGAUUAGAUACCCGUGUAGUC